rnacentral:rRNA from 1 species
CAGCAGCCGCGGUAGUACGAAGGGUGCAAGCGUUAAUCGGAAUUACUGGGCGUAGAGCGUGCGUAGGCGGUGAGUUAAGUCUGCUGUGAAAUCCCCGGGCUCAACCUGGGAAUGGCAGUGGAUACUGGCUCGCUAGAGUGUGUCAGAGGAUGGUGGAAUUCCCGGUGUAGCGGUGAAAUGCGUAGAGAUCGGGAGGAACAUCAGUGGCGAAGGCGGCCAUCUGGGACAACACUGACGCUGAGGCACGAAAGCAUGGGGAGCAAACAGGAUUAGAUACCCCCGUAGUCCCUGUCUCUUAUAC